rnacentral:rRNA from 1 species
AGCGACUGUCUUGAAAGUCAAGCGAUCGUUAACAAAAACCGGGACUCUGAACAUUGACGCAACUGGGGAACGCUGCGCUAGAUUCUGCGGUGGCUGGUACGGGCAAAAAGACUUGUGGCUCUUGGCU